AGGAGAGAGAAGGGAGGGGGGAGGAGGGGAGGAUAGGAGGGGAGGAGGUGAGGAGGGGAGGCAAAUUAAUCUCAUCAGCUAUAAAUCAUUUCAGUAGCCUUGUGGGUAGAGUGUCCGCACUGAGAUCGGAAGGUUGGGAGUUCUAUCCCUGGCCGAGUCGUAACAAAGACCGUAAAAAUGGGAUCGGGUGUUUCUCUGCUUGGAACUGAGCAUUAAGGAGAUAGAUUGUGGGUCGGGAAAGUUGAUGGAGGAAAACGGUGAUAAUAUCGGACAGACAAGACAGGGCAGUGCUUGAUUUAGGGCCAAGCUAAGCUCGGUUCGUUCAUUUGUCAGGGGGAGGGAUUUAAGGGACGGACUUUCCAGAAUACUUUAGAUUGGAACGCUUUAUCAUAGUUUCUCCUUCAGAACUAAUCUAUUUAGGAUUUCUUUUUUCCUUUUUCUUAUCAUUUUCUUUUAUUCAAAAUGAAAAUCUGGACCAUCUAAUCCAUCUCAGAGUUAUUAUCCUGUUCCAUUCGCUCUGCCUUCCAAAUCACAAUCCGUGUUUAAGGGGUGGAACCAGAGUCAAGGGGACUUUAAGUAGAAAAGGGAGGGAGGGGGAGGAAAGGAAGAGGGGUGGAUGGAUGGGUGGAUUCAGGGUUCAAAUAAACUCUUAAUAAUCAAGAUGAGGUUUCGGUUCUGGUGGCAUGCAUUGAAACACUUGGCUUUCUCUUGGCUUUCUGUUGGCUUUCUGUUGGCUUUCUGUUGGCUUUCUGUUGGCUUUCUGUUGGCUUUCUGUUGGCUUUCUGUUGGCUUUCUGUUGGCUUUCUGUUGGCUUUCUGUUGGCUUUCUGUUGGCUUUCUGUUGGCUUUCUGUUGGCUUUCUCUUGGCUUUCUCUGGGCUUUCUCUGGGCUUUCUCUUGGCUUUCUCUUGGCUUUCUCUUGGCUUUCUGUUGGCUUUCUGUUGGCUUUCUGUUGGCUUUCUCUGGGCUUUCUCUGGGCUUUCUCUGGGCUUUCUCUUGGCUUUCUCUUGGCUUUCUCUUGGCUUUCUGUUGGCUUUCUCUUGCAAAAUAACUUUGAAUUAACUUAUUUAAAAAAUAAUUGUCAACAUAUGAAAUCACAUUAAGCUGGGACGUUCACUAUAUUAAAAGGAACAAUAUCAGGACGUGACACACACACACACACACACACACACACACACACACACACACACACACACACACACACACACACACACACACACACACACACACACAGCUCCUGAAAUACUAAGACAAACAACUGAACUGACUAUCCUCAUCCUCUCUAUAUAAAACAACUGACAUCUACACAUCUAAGCCGCUCUUUCAGGAUGAGAGGUUUUCUGUCUUUAGCCCAACAUAUUUCCGCAAUGGGACAAUAGAGAUGUGGUAGUAGAGUAGGGACCUGAGGGCACACACUUGGUGUGUUGUGAAAUCUGUUAUGAACAUAUUGUAUGUUUUUAAAAUUGUAUAACUGCCUUAAUUUUGCCGGACCCCAGGAAGAGAAGGCAGCAGCAAAUAGGGCUCCAUAAUAAAUACAAAUACACACUCAAAUCUAAACCUGUAACAUCUCGUCUGUCCAGAAGGUGGCAGCAGAGGGCUUUAUUAUUUAAAAAAAAACGAUAAAAGAACAACAGUAAGCAUCAGGAAGAAACCCACAACCACUUUCUAAUAAUUAAAUAAUUCAAACGUUUACCAAUCAUUAAAAGGGUAAUCUGCAGUUUAAAAAAAACGCACAAAGUGGCCACCAUGCGAUUGUUUUGGUAAAGAGCUGAGAGUAUGGGGCUUGAGAAAUGCAACCACUCUCAAAUUCAUAGACAGAGCUAUGGAUACAAAG
rnacentral:lncRNA from 1 species